CAACCACAGCUUCUCCAACCACAACACCUGCACCAACCACGACAACAUCUGCUCCAACAACAACUGCAUCUAUAACAAUUUCUACAACAGUACCAACUACCAUUAGCACAAAUGAGAUGAGAGUUUUCCGCCGGAUGAACUUCAGGUCUCCUACUGAUACCUUUACCAACAAUCUUGAAAUCAAGUCUUCAGAUUCUUUCAGCCAACGAUCCCAACUUUUAUGGAAUCGUCUUCAUCCCCUCUACAAAGAAGCAUUUAGGUCAUUCUUGGGAAUGAUUAUUAUCUCAUUCAGAAGAGGAUCAGUUAUCAACACGCUGGACCUCGAAUUUCAAGCAACAGAUGUUCCUAGUAAUCAAGCAAUCGGAAAUGUUUUAAUCAAUGAGGCACCAAACAUAACUGAAUUCUCCGUGGAAGCGUCAUCGGUGUUUGUUGG